rnacentral:rRNA from 1 species
UACGUAGGAUGCACGCGUGGUCCGGAUUUACUGGGAGUAAAGCGCGCGCAGGCGGCUCUUUAAGUAUGGCGUGAAAUCUCCCUGCUCAACGGGGAGGGUGCGUUGUAGACUGAGGAGCUUGAGGUCGGUAGAGGGGGGUGGAAUUGCUGGUGUAGCGGUGAAAUGCGUAGAGAUCAGCAGGCACAGGCGUGGCGAAGGCGGCGCCCUGGGCCGUACCUGACGCUGAGACGCGAAGGCUAGGGGAGCGACCGGG